rnacentral:rRNA from 1 species
GAGCUGAGUUCACACUGUCAAGAAAAGCCGCGCGUACCGGCGAACGGAAGCCUGACCAUUCUAAAAACUGACACAGGUAGGCUAGUCGAGAAGGCUAAGGGGAGCGGGAGAACCUCCGCUAAGGAACUAGGCAAAAUGGCCCCGUAACUUCGGGAGAAGGGGCGCUCCUGCGGGUUAAGAGCUAGCGGGAGCUGCAAAGACCAGGCUCUGGCGACUGUUUACCAAAAACACAGGACUCUGCGAACACGAUGAGUGGACGUAUAGGGUCUGACGCCUGCCCAGUGCUGGAAGGUUAAGGGGAGUGGUCAGCGCGAGCGAAGCUACGAACCGAAGCCCCAGUAAACGGCGGCCGUAACUAUAACGGUCCUAAGGUAGCGAAAUUCCUUGUCGGGCAAGUUCCGACCUGCAUGAAUGGCGUAACGAUCGGAGCACUGUCUCAGCGGAGGGCCCGGUGAAAUUCCAAUCUUGGUGAAGAUGCCAAGUUACCCGCGAUUAGACGGCAAGACCCCAUGAAGCUUUACUGUAUCCUAAUAUGGUAUAGUGGUGGAAGGCGUACAGGAUAGGUGGGAGGCAGCGAACGCAGCGCGUCAGCGCUGCGGGAGCCGACGGUGGGAUACCACCCUCCUUCCAGCGUUAUACUAACCGAGGUAGGUGGAGAGCCUAUCAGGGACAGUGUUAGGGGGGCAGUUUGACUGGGGCGGUCGCCUCCAAAAAGGUAACGGAGGCGCGCGAAGGUGGGCUCAGGCUGGUUGGGAAUCAGCUGGCGAGUGCAAGGGCAAAAGCCCGCCUGACAGUGAGAGAGACAUCUCGAGCUGAGACGAAAGUCGGUCCUAAUGGCCAGGUGGUGCUGUGUGGAAAGGCCAUCGCUCAACGGACAAAAGCUACUCUGGGGAUAACAGGCUGAUACCGUCCGAGAGUCCAUAUCGACGACGGUGUUUGGCACCUCGAUGUCGGCUCAUCGCAUCCUGGGGCUGUAGUCGGUCCCAAGGGUUGGGCUGUCCGCCCAUUAAAGCGGUACGUGAGCUGGGUUCAGAACGUCGUAAGACGGUUCGGUCCCUAUCUGUCGCGGGCGCAGGAUACUUGAGAAGGCUUCUCCCCAGUACGAGAGGACCGGGAGGAGUGGACCGCUGGUGAACCAGUUGUGCUACCAAGCGCAUAAGCUGGGUAUCUAAGUCCAUGAGUGAUAAGCGCUGAAAGCAUCUAAGCGCGAAACAUGCUUCAAGAUGAGGUAUCCCAUCGAAAGAGUAAGGGCCGUUCGAGAACAGGACGUAGAUAGGCCGCAGGUGGAAGCGGUGCGAGCCGUGCAGCCGAGCGGUACUAAUCGCCCGAGGCCUUGACCA